GAAUUAGUACUUUAAGAAAAAGACCAGGUUUGCAUUUUGGAAUUGGUGCGCGUCGCCCUAAUUCG
rnacentral:tRNA from 1 species